GCCAGGUGUGGUAGCGCACACCUGUGGUCCCAGGAGCUCAGGAGGCUGAGGCAGGAGGAUCACAAGUUCAAAGCCAGCCUCAGCAACAGCAAGGCACAGAGCAGCUCAGUGAGACCCUGUCUCUA
rnacentral:sRNA from 1 species